GAUGAACGCUAGCGGCAGGCUUAACACAUGCAAGUCGAGGGGUAGGAGAAGCUUGCUUUUCUGAGACCGGCGCACGGGUGCGUAACGCGUAUGCAAUCUACCUUUCACAGAGGGAUAGCCCAGAGAAAUUUGGAUUAAUACCUCAUAGUAUAAUUGAAUGGCAUCAUUUAAUUAUUAAAGAUUUAUCGGUGAAAGAUGAGCAUGCGUCCCAUUAGCUAGUUGGUAUGGUAACGGCAUACCAAGGCAACGAUGGGUAGGGGUCCUGAGAGGGAGAUCCCCCACACUGGUACUGAGACACGGACCAGACUCCUACGGGAGGCAGCAGUGAGGAAUAUUGGACAAUGGGCGCAAGCCUGAUCCAGCCAUGCCGCGUGCAGGAUGACGGCCCUAUGGAUUGUAAACUGCUUUUAUACAGGAAGAAACACUCCCUCGUGAGGGAGCUUGACGGUACUGUAAGAAUAAGGAUCGGCUAACUCCGUGCCAGCAGCCGCGGUAAUACGGAGGAUCCAAGCGUUAUCCGGAAUCAUUGGGUUUAAAGGGUCCGUAGGCGGUCAGGUAAGUCAGUGGUGAAAGCCCAUCGCUCAACGGUGGAACGGCCAUUGAUACUGUCUGACUUGAAUUAUUAGGAAGUAACUAGAAUAUGUAGUGUAGCGGUGAAAUGCUUAGAGAUUACAUGGAAUACCAAUUGCGAAGGCAGGUUACUACUAAUUGAUUGACGCUGAUGGACGAAAGCGUGGGUAGCGAACAGGAUUAGAUACCCUGGUAGUCCACGCCGUAAACGAUGGAUACUAGCUGUUGGGAGCAAUCUCAGUGGCUAAGCGAAAGUGAUAAGUAUCCCACCUGGGGAGUACGAACGCAAGUUUGAAACUCAAAGGAAUUGACGGGGGCCCGCACAAGCGGUGGAGCAUGUGGUUUAAUUCGAUGAUACGCGAGGAACCUUACCAAGGCUUAAAUGUAGAUUGACCGUUUGGAAACAGAACUU
rnacentral:rRNA from 1 species